CUUGAACGCUGGCGGCAGGCUUAACACAUGCAAGUCGAGCGGAGGUGAGGUGCUUGCACCUUAUCUUAGCGGCGGACGGGUGAGUAAUGCUUAGGAAUCUGCCUAUUAGUGGGGGACAACAUUCCGAAAGGAAUGCUAAUACCGCAUACGUCCUACGGGAGAAAGCAGGGGAUCUUCGGACCUUGCGCUAAUAGAUGAGCCUAAGUCGGAUUAGCUAGUUGGUGGGGUAAAGGCCUACCAAGGCGACGAUCUGUAGCGGGUCUGAGAGGAUGAUCCGCCACACUGGGACUGAGACACGGCCCAGAAUCCUACGGGAGGCAGCAGUGGGGAAUAUUGGACAAUGGGGGGAACCCUGAUCCAGCCAUGCCGCGUGUGUGAAGAAGGCCUUAUGGUUGUAAAGCACUUUAAGCGAGGAGGAGGCUACUGAGACUAAUACUCUUGGAUAGUGGACGUUACUCGCAGAAUAAGCACCGGCUAACUCUGUGCCAGCCGCCGCAGUAACAC
rnacentral:rRNA from 1 species